rnacentral:rRNA from 1 species
ACUCCUACGGGAGGCAGCAGUAGGGAAUCUUCCACAAUGGGCGCAAGCCUGAUGGAGCAACACCGCGUGAGUGAAGAAGGGUUUCGGCUCGUAAAGCUCUGUUGUUAAAGAAGAACACGUAUGAGAGUAACUGUUCAUACGUUGACGGUAUUUAACCAGAAAGUCACGGCUAACUACGUGCCAGCAGCCGCGGUAAUACGUAGGUGGCAAGCGUUAUCCGGAUUUAUUGGGCGUAAAGAGAGUGCAGGCGGUUUUCUAAGUCUGAUGUGAAAGCCUUUGGCUUAACCGGAGAAGUGCAUCGGAAACUGGAUAACUUGAGUGCAGAAGAGGGUAGUGGAACUCCAUGUGUAGCGGUGGAAUGCGUAGAUAUAUGGAAGAACACCAGUGGCGAAGGCGGCUACCUGGUCUGCAACUGACGCUGAGACUCGAAAGCAUGGGUAGCGAACAGGAUUAGAUACCCUGGUAGGAUAGCG